GUGUGUGUGUGUUUGGUAUAAUUCAUUAUGGCAUUUCUAAGCAUAUCACCAUUAUUUUGCUCCAUUUUGCAAUACCGGCAUGAAGUAAACAAAAUGAGAAAAACCAAAACAACAAUUUUCUGCGCGUGUGUGAGAGAGAAGGGCAUAGACUGAUGCCGUGAGAGAGAGGUUAUUUCAUAGGAAGCAUUAUGUUUUGGCAGAAGAAAUCCAUCAAACAAAUGACCACCUGGAAAGGCCGCAGGGAGCCAUCUGGGCUCCAUGAGAAAGCUGACUUGGCGACUGAUGGAAGGAGAAGCAGAGAAAGAGAGCCAUUGUCUUUUUGGUCAUCUUAAACAAGUCCCAGGGUGUAGAGGAGAGAAAUAAUACUGAAAAAAAUCUUUCCCCAGAGGACACAGCUUUGUACUCCAUACAUACCGUAAAGGUGACGCAGCAAAGAAUGCAAGGGCUUCAUAGCUCUAGACAACUCACAUUAAGGAACAAAGGACAACACCGGAGACCUUGAAGGAGAAGG